GAUGAACGCUAGCUACAGGCUUAACACAUGCAAGUCGAGGGGAAACGAUGAGAGAGCUUGCUCUCUUAGUCGUCGACCGGCGCACGGGUGAGUAACGCGUAUCCAACCUGCCUCUGACCAAGGGAUAACCCGUCGAAAGUCGGACUAAUACCUUAUGCAGUCGUCGGAAGUCAUCUGAUGACGACGAAAGAUUUCAUCGGUGAGAGAUGGGGAUGCGUCUGAUUAGCUUGUUGGCGGGGUAACGGCCCACCAAGGCGACGAUAAGUAGGGGUUCUGAGAGGAAGGUCCCCCACAUUGGAACUGAGACACGGUCCAAACUCCUACGGGAGGCAGCAGUGAGGAAUAUUGGUCAAUGGGCGUAAGCCUGAACCAGCCAAGUAGCGUGCAGGAUGACGGCCCUAUGGGUUGUAAACUGCUUUUAUGCGGGGAUAAAGUGAGGGACGUGUCCUUCAUUGCAGGUACCGCAUGAAUAAGGACCGGCUAAUUCCGUG
rnacentral:rRNA from 1 species